GCACUACUGAGGAGUCCCACAAUAGGACGAAACGGCCGUCCAGUAC
rfam:Schistosoma haematobium scaffold106_15, whole genome shotgun sequence.